AUGAUGGACUAUAGGACAGGACUGCUGCUGUUAACUGUCUGCUGGGCAGGUGUUGAUGGUCAGACUCUGACAGAAUCUGAACCAGUGGUUAAAAGGCCUGGAGAAUCUCACAGAUUGACCUGUACAGCCUCUGGAUUCACAUUCAGUGACUACUGGAUGAGCUGGAUCAGACAGGCUCCUGGAAAAGGACUGGAGUGGAUGGCUAUUAUUAGAUAUGACAGUGCUUCCGUCUACUACUCUGAAUCAGUCAAAGGCCGGUUUACCAUCUCCAGAGACAACAGCAGACAGCAGGUGUAUCUGCAGAUGAGCAGUCUGAAGACUGAAGAUUCUGCUGUUUAUGAUUGUGCUCGAGAGCCACAGUGACU